AACGAACGCUGGCGGCAUGCCUAACACAUGCAAGUCGAACGAGAUCUUCGGGUCUAGUGGCGCACGGGUGCGUAACGCGUGGGAAUCUGCCCUUUGGUUCGGAAUAACAGUUGGAAACGACUGCUAAUACCGGAUGAUGACGAAAGUCCAAAGAUUUAUCGCCAGAGGAUGAGCCCGCGUAGGAUUAGCUAGUUGGUGUGGUAAAGGCGCACCAAGGCGACGAUCCUUAGCUGGUCUGAGAGGAUGAGCAGCCACACUGGGACUGAGACACGGCCCAGACUCCUACGGGAGGCAGCAGUGGGGAAUAUUGGACAAUGGGCGAAAGCCUGAUCCAGCAAUGCCGCGUGAGUGAUGAAGGCCUUAGGGUUGUAAAGCUCUUUUACCCGGGAUGAUAAUGACAGUACCGGGAGAAUAAGUUCCGGCUAACUCCGUGCCAGCCGCCGCGGUAA
rnacentral:rRNA from 1 species